rnacentral:rRNA from 1 species
GACGAACGCUGGCGGCGUGCUUAACACAUGCAAGUCGAACGGAAAGGCCCUGCUUUUGUGGGGUGCUCGAGUGGCGAACGGGUGAGUAACACGUGAGUAACCUGCCCUUGACUUUGGGAUAACUUCAGGAAACUGGGGCUAAUACCGGAUAGGAGCUCCUGCUGCAUGGUGGGGGUUGGAAAGUUUCGGCGGUUGGGGAUGGACUCGCGGCUUAUCAGCUUGUUGGUGGGGUAGUGGUUUACCAAGGCUUUGACGGGUAGCCGGCCUGGGAGGGUGGCCGGCCACAUUGGGACUGAGAUACGGCCCAGACUCCUACGGGAGGCAGCAGUGGGGAAUAUUGCACAAUGGGCGGAAGCCUGAUGCAGCAACGCCGCGUGCGGGAUGACGGCCUUCGGGUUGUAAACCGCUUUCGCCUGUGACGAAGCGUGAGUGACGGUAAUGGGUAAAGAAGCACCGGCUAACUACGUG